CCGCAUGGUGGGUGUUGGAAAGAUUUAUCGGUUUUGGAUGGACUCGCGGCCUAUCAGCUUGUUGGUGAGGUAAUGGCUCACCAAGGCGACGACGGGUAGCCGGCCUGAGAGGGGUGACCGGCCACACUGGGACUGAGACACGGCCCAGACUCCUACGGGAGGCAGCAGUGGGGAAUAUUGCACAAUGGGCGCAAGCCUGAUGCAGCGACGCCGCGUGAGGGAUGACGGCCUUCGGGUUGUAAACCUCUUUCAGUAGGGAAGAAGCGAAAGUGACGGUACCUGCAGAAGAAGCACCGGCUAACUACGUGCCAGCAGCCGCGGUAAUACGUAGGGUGCGAGCGUUAUCCGGAAUUAUUGGGCGUAAAGAGCUCGUAGGCGGUUUGUCGCGUCUGUCGUGAAAGUCCGGGGCUUAACCCCGGAUCUGCGGUGGGUACGGGCAGACUAGAGUGCAGUAGGGGAGACUGGAAUUCCUGGUGUAGCGGUGGAAUGCGCAGAUAUCAGGAGGAACACCGAUGGCGAAGGCAGGUCUCUGGGCUGUAACUGACGCUGAGGAGCGAAAGCAUGGGGAGCGAACAGGAUUAGAUACCCUGGUAGUCCAUGCCGUAAACGUUGGGCACUAG
rnacentral:rRNA from 1 species